UUGUGAAAGUUUAUCGUCGACUUUUUGAAUUUUAAAAAAUGACGUUACGUUUUGAAACAAUGUUUUUUUCGUUUAUCACACAGUCUACAUAUAACGAUAUCUAGGCUUUAUAUGGACCGAUUUAAUCGAAAUAAAGACCCAAAUAGUGUUUAUGGGACAUCUAGGAGUGCCAACAAAGAAGAUGGUGAAAGACAGCUCCUGCUGUGGGCCUGGAGAACCUGAGCUGGAGACCCUGAGAGACGGAGGGUGGAACGGAGGAGAGGAAUAGAAGGAGGAAAGGCCUCGCCCCACUCCACCUUGUUUUCUGUUCCCCCAGCAGGUCCAUGGGAUCCAGACUGGAAGGAAAGUGUCCCAGCUUUGACUCAGAUUGGGAGAAAACAAACCGGCGUCACAUGGGACAGAUGGCAGAUUACCCUGAGGAAGAACACUGUGCACGGUCGGGAGGGAUUAUCUCAAAUGUACAUCUUGAUCCCAGGCUGUGCCAUCCUCAUUUGCUUCCUCAUUUACAAAUUAUCAGGAGAAGUAAAUCACUCGCAGUGAUGUGUACCCGAUUACAUGUACUGUUAAAGCCCUGUAUUAAUGUGUAAGAGAAUUACAGACAUUUGCACAGCGUUAUGUAA